rnacentral:rRNA from 1 species
UAACCGUGGUAAUUCUAGAGCUAAUACAUGCUAAAAACCCUGACUUCGGAAGGGGUGUGUUUAUUAGAUAAAAAACCAAUGCCCUUCGGGGCUCUUUGGUGAUUCAUGAUAACCUAACGGAUCGCAUGGCCUUGCGCCGGCGACGGUUCAUUCAAAUUUCUGCCCUAUCAACUUUCGAUGGUAAGGUAUUGGCUUACCAUGGUUUCAACGGGUAACGGGGAAUUAGGGUUCGAUUCCGGAGAGGGAGCCUGAGAAACGGCUACCACAUCCAAGGAAGGCAGCAGGCGCGCAAAUUACCCAAUCCCGACACGGGGAGGUAGUGACAAUAAAUACUGAUAUAGGGCUCUUUUGGGUCUUGUAAUUGGAAUGAGUACAAUUUAAACCCCUUAACGAGGAACAAUUGGAGGGCAAGUCUGGUGCCAGCAGCCGCGGUAAUUCCAGCUCCAAUAGCGUAUAUUAAAGUUGUUGCAGUUAAAAAGCUCGUAGUUGAAACUUGGGUCUGGCUAGCGGGUCCGCCUCACCGCGUGCACUUGUCCGGCUGGACCUUUCCUUCUGGAGAACCUCAUGCCCUUCACUGGGUGUGUUGGGGAACCAGGACUUUUACUUUGAAAAAAUUAGAGUGUUCAAAGCAGGCCUUUGCUCGAAUACGUUAGCAUGGAAUAAUAGAAUAGGACGUGCGGUCCUAUUUUGUUGGUUUCUAGGAUCGCCGUAAUGAUUAAUAGGGAUAGUCGGGGGCAUCAGUAUUCAAUUGUCAGAGGUGAAAUUCUUGGAUUUAUUGAAGACUAACUACUGCGAAAGCAUUUGCCAAGGAUGUUUUCAUUAAUCAGUGAACGAAAGUUAGGGGAUCGAAGACGAUCAGAUACCGUCGUAGUCUUAACCGUAAACUAUGCCGACUAGGGAUCGGGCGAUGUUUCUAUCUUGACUCGCUCGGCACCUUACGAGAAAUCAAAGUUUUGGGUCUGGGG